ACAGCAGUCGCCGCGGGAAUACGGAGGGGGCUAGCGUUGUUCGGAAUUACUGGGCGUAAAGCGCACGUAGGCUGCUUUGUAAGUUAGAGGUGAAAGCCUGGUGCUCAACACCAGAACUGCCUUUAAGACUGCAGAGCUAGAACGUCGGAGAGGUGAGUGGAAUUCCGAGUGUAGAGGUGAAAUUCGUAGAUAUUCGGAAGAACACCAGUGGCGAAGGCGGCUCACUGGACGACUGUUGACGCUGAGGUGCGAAAGCGUGGGGAGCAAACAGGAUUAGAUACCCCGGUAGUCCCUGUCUCUUAUAC
rnacentral:rRNA from 1 species